GACGAACGCUGGCGGCGUGCCUAAUACAUGCAAGUCGAACGCAGUGGGGACGGGUGAGUAACACCUGGGUAACCUCCCAUCAGAGGGGAUAACACUUGGAAACAGGUGCUAAACCGAUACUGAUGUAUGUACUCGCGGUGAAUUAGCUAGUGGGUGAGGUAACGGCUCACCAAGGCCACGAUGCAUAGCCGACCUGAGAGGGUGAUCGGCCACACUGGGACUGAGACACGGCCCAGACUCCUACGGGAGGCAGCAGUAGGGAAUCUUCGGCAAUGGACGAAAGUCUGACCGAGCAACGCCGCGUGAGUGAAGAAGGUGUUCGGAUCGUAAAACUCUGUGGUUAGAGAAGCGUUAUCUAACCAGAAAGCAACGGCUAACUCCGUGCCAGCCGCCGCGGUAAUAC
rnacentral:rRNA from 1 species